GCUCUGUCUUGAUUAAUAAAGUUUUUCAUAAAUAUCUAUAUAAAUGCUAUUAUUUGCUAUUUUUAUGCUAUAUUUUUUAAUUUUUAAUUUUUAUGAGUAUAUAGUAGAUAUAUGUAUUUAUGGAGUACCUGAGAAAUUUUAAUACAGGUACACAAUGUGUAAUGAUCACAUCAAGGUAAAUGGGGUAUCCAUAACCUCAAGCAUUUAUCAUUUCUUUGUGUUACAAACAUUUCAAUUAUAUUAUUUUAAAAAUGUACAGUAAAUUUUUGUUGACUGUAGUCAACCUGUUGUGCUAUGACAUACUAGGUCUGAUUUAUUCUUUCUAACCAUAUUUUGUACCCAUUAACCAUCCCCACUUUCCCUCCCCUCCCCACUACCAUUCCUGCCUGUGGUAACCCUCAUUCCACUUUGUUUCCUUGAGUUCAAUUGUUUGCAUAUUUAGCUCCCACAAAUAAGUGAGAACAUGCAAAUUUGGUUUUCUGUGCCUGGGUUAUUUCACUUAACAUAAACAUCCUCCAGUUCCAUUCACAUUGUUGCAAAUGACAGGAUCUCACCCUUUUUUAUGGCUGAAUAGUUCUCCACUGUGCAUAUGUACCACAUUUUCUUUAUCCAUUUGUCUGCUGUAGGAUAGUUAGGUUGUUUCCAAAUCUUGGCUAUUGUGAAUAGUGCUGCAACAAACAUGGCUGUGCACAUAUUUCUUUGAUAUACUGAUUUUCUUUCUUUUGAGUAUAUAGCUAGGUGUGAGAUUGCUGGAUCAUAUGGUAGUUCUUUUUCUUUUCUUUUCUUUUUUUUUUUUUUAGACGUGUUUCACUCUGUCACCCAUGCUGUAUAGUUCAUUGGUGCAAUCUCAGCUCACUGCAACUCCGCCUCCCAGGUUCAAGCAAUUCUCAUGCCUCAGCCUCCUGAAUAGCUGGGAUUACAGUGCUGUUAAGGCCCUUCAGUGCAAGAUUGAAGUGAAGUGAUGAUAUUGGACAUCUUUGACUUCAAAGGAAUGCUUUGAAAAUCUCAUCAUUAGAUAAGAUUGUUUGCAGUGAAUUUUUAAAAAAUUUGUAAUUAGCCUUUAUCAGAUUGAGGAAGCUCCAUUCUAGUUCUAGUUUGUCAUGAGUUUUUAAUUUUUAUCAUGAAUGGAUUUUAAAACUCAGAUGCUAUCUGAGUU
rnacentral:lncRNA from 1 species